rnacentral:lncRNA from 1 species
UGACUAAAAUAUUUGAAUGAGCAUAGGAGUUGAUAAAAUGAAUUAUUUUUAAAGAAAACUAACACAAAGAAUAUGGUUUAUCUUUUGGGGAAUUUAAUUAAAUUAAGUCGCAAUUUGAAAGAAAACAAAUAAAUAAAUGGUCACACAAUUAAAUAAAUUAGAAAUUGAAUUUGGGCCUCUUUUUUGGGCCAAAUUCGCUGCACUUUCUGGGGAUUUUACUCAAUCCCGUUUUUGUAUACACUGACUGUAUAUCAGUGUAUAUCGGCAUGUAUAUCAGCUCUUUUCAUGUAUCUCUUGCUUCCGAACACCUGUAUUUCGCCUCAGCCCUGUAUUUCCAUAUUUUUUGACUUGUAUAUUGACGUAUAUCUGCUGUAUAUCGUUGUAUAUUUGCCUUUUUUCCACCUGCGUUUUUGGCUUCCAAGAGCCCUAUCUCAACUUCCAAACUUUGUAUUAAGGCUGACUCGAGAAAACGGAGAUGUUUGGUGUCGGUCCGACUCGAAAAAUGCACGUAAAGGAGUCCACCUUGGACUCAAAUACACAUCACAUGUAAAUAAAAGGGAUAAAGAUUAAUAAACUCACAAAUUCUCUAUUAAAUUAAACACAAAGUAACAGUAGAGAGCUUAGGACCUAAAUAAUUAUGAAUUAUGUAGAUCAAGGGACAUACAUCACUUAAAGGGAGGAUUAAAGAAGAAAACAAAAAAAAAGAAUAAUCAAAGAGAUAUUCCCAUAAUUAUCACUAGCAUGAGACUUAAUUGUGAACAAGAGAUAAAUCUCCUAAACAUGAUCAACACUUAAAACAUACACAUGUGAACAUUAACCGGAAGUAAACUUCAAGGGAAAACAAAAUAAUGAAACACGAUUGAAGAAAGCGAAGAUUAAAAAAAAUAUUAUCUAAUUCUUAAACAACUACUACAAAACAAACUUUAAUGAUAUAAUUUCAUCAAAGGCAGCAAAUAAAGUUUUUGCUGAUUUGAAAGCAAAUACCAACUUUCUUAAAUAACUAGAAGUAAAGCACAAAACCCAACAUAUUUUCCUAGUCAAAUCCUUCAUUUCUAAACAGCAAGGAAUACAAAAUAACAAAGCAAUAAUUUUCACACUUUUUCAUUAAGUUUUUUCCAUAGACAAUGCCUAAAUCGCAUAAGUAAAAUGACUUUAUAUCUUAAUACCUAAGCUAUCACAGCAGCUAAAAUAUUGAACAACACUCUAGUAAUAGCUCAAAAUAUACGAAAAGGCUGUCAACUAAGGACAGAACCAACACAGUUUUGUUAACAAUCUUCACAUAGAGUAUCGAACACACAAAAUAUGCUACAUUGAAACGGAAUAUAAAAAAAAGCGAUGAUACUAACUACAAAACGGUAAAAUUUGUAGUCCGACAGUUAGACUGAGCCACAACAUCCCCCAAGAACAUAUGUAUCACAUUUUUAUCACCAACCAAGUAGCAUCUAACGACAAACAACCAUAGAAUAAAGACUUUCCGAUAUCAAAAACGUCACAUUGAACUAGGAAAGUAGAUAAAAAAAAAUGUUAUCGAGAGAGGAGCGUUUACCUUUCUCCGGGCAGCAACUAGGACAGCAACGAGCAGAAUGGUCUUUCACCACACGAAAUCUGAACACGAACAAUAGCUGCAAGAAUAUCAACUCCAAAACAC